rnacentral:snRNA from 1 species
AUUGCUUCUCAGACUUUUGGCUAAGAUCAAGUGCAG